AUUGAACGCUGGCGGCAUGCCUUACACAUGCAAGUCGAACGGCAGCAUGGGUGCUUGCACCUGAUGGCGAGUGGCGAACGGGUGAGUAAUGCAUCGGAACGUACCCGGAAGGGGGGGAUAACGUAGCGAAAGUUACGCUAAUACCGCAUAUUCUGUGAGCAGGAAAGCGGGGGAUCGCAAGACCUCGCGCUUCCGGAGCGGCCGAUGUCGGAUUAGCUAGUUGGCGGGGUAAAGGCCCACCAAGGCAACGAUCCGUAGCGGGUCUGAGAGGAUGAUCCGCCACACUGGGACUGAGACACGGCCCAGACUCCUACGGGAGGCAGCAGUGGGGAAUUUUGGACAAUGGGGGCAACCCUGAUCCAGCCAUGCCGCGUGAGUGAAGAAGGCCUUCGGGUUGUAAAGCUCUUUCGGCCGGGAAGAAAUCGCACAGGUUAAUACCUUGUGUGGAUGACGGUACCGGAAUAAGAAGCACCGGCUAACUACGUGCCAGCAGCCGCCGUAAACA
rnacentral:rRNA from 1 species